AGAAGAUCACUAAGCCCGCGAAAGUUGGCUCGUGGAAAAAAUUGCCAUACUCUGCGGCAGCAAGCCACGGACCAGUCACCGAAAAAGUUCACCGUCUACAUCAUACAUAUUCAGAAGGCUCUAUAGAUUAGGUGCAGGGAAUGUGGAGUUGUAAGGGGUGCACAGAAACUGUAGCAAGUAGGUCCAAGCUUUUGCACCACUACAAGUUAAGGCAUCCACAUUUUGGGCGUAGUUCUCGCUAUCCAUGUACAUACCAGCAUUGUCCAUGCACAUUUAAGACGUGGAAUGCCUUAAUUGUCCACCAAAGUAAAAUCCACACCACAGGUGUCACUCACAAAAAAGAAGCAAUAUUCAGUUGUCACAUUUGUAGUUGUAGUGAUUUUGCAUCAGAGAAGGAUUAUUUUUCUCAUAUAAAUGCCCAUCUCAAACGAAACGAGACGGUCAUUUGUAUGUUUUUAGGCUGUGAUUUUAAGACAAACAUUUAUUGUACUUUUAAAUCACACAAAAAUCGAAAACACCGCCAUCACACAUUGGUUGAUUUUAAACCAGAAGUAGUCAUAACUACAAGGAUAUCAUUUGUGAAUAAA